rnacentral:tRNA from 1 species
UUGCGAUUAGCUCAGAUGGACAGAGCAACGGUUUAUGAUACCGUCGGUCGCGGGUUCAAUUCCCGUAUCGAUUG